UACGAAGGGUGCAAACGUUGCUCGGAAUUAUUGGGCGUAAAGCGCACGUAGGCGGCUUGGCAAGUCGGAUGUGAAAUCCCUCGGCUCAACCAAGGAAGUGCAUCCGAAACUGCUGAGCUUGAGUACGAAAGAGGAUCGCGGAAUUCCCGGUGUAGAGGUGAAAUUCGUAGAUAUCGGGAGGAACACCAGUGGCGAAGGCGGCGAUCUGGGUCGAUACUGACGCUGAGGUGCGAAAGCGUGGGGGAGCAAACAGG
rnacentral:rRNA from 1 species